GACGAACGCUGGCGGCGUGCCUAACACAUGCAAGUCGAGCGAGUGAAUCUCCUUCGGGAGUGAAACUAGCGGCGGACGGGUGAGUAACACGUGGGCAACCUGCCUCAUAGAGGGGAAUAGCCUUUCGAAAGGAAGAUUAAUACCGCAUAAGAUUGUAGCUUCGCAUGAAGUAGCAAUUAAAGGAGUAAUCCGCUAUGAGAUGAGUCCGCGGCCCAUUAGCUAGUUGGUGAGAUAAUAGCCCACCAAGGCUUUGAUGGGUAGCCGAGCUAAGAGGUUGAUCGGCCACACUGGGACUGAGAUACGGCCCAGACACCUACGGGUGGCAGCAGUAGGGAAUAUUGGACAAUGGACGAAAGUCUGAUCCAGCAAUGCCGCGUGAGUGACGAAGGAUUUCGGUCUGUAAAGCUCUUUUCUGAGGGAAGAAAUGACACGUGAGGAAAUGCUCGUGUCUUGACGGUACCUCAGGAAUAAGGGACGGCUAACUCCGU
rnacentral:rRNA from 1 species